GUGGCAGCUCUUGUUGCCUGGCAACCCCUUGGUCCCCUACACUGAAGUAGAACAAAGCAGGAGGGGGGAGUGGCCAAAGGCAGGUGGUGGUCCCCACAGCCUUGCCAGAGAGGCCUAUCUCACUGAGACGGGUAGGAGAGAUAAGCUUUUGGAGAGACCUGGGAAGCUGGCUUCCCUGGGGUUAACUCACCUAGGCAUAGCUAGUCAGGGCCAGAAGAGCUGCCCAGAUGACCACCAAAGUGAACACCUGUGCUAGGUCCUGGCUGUGCAGUCAUGGUUGGUCAGAAUAUGGGCCCAGCACCCCCACCCGGCCCAGCUCAGCCACACCGUGUAUCCUGAACACUCCAGGAAGGGCCUGCAGUGUUUCCAGAACAUCAGCCUGGCGCACCCUUGGAAAUGACUUUUCCUUCUUGUAUACUGCAAGGAAUAACUGUUCCUAAGAAGUAGAGUCAGAAACUGCUGAAGACAACUGGAACUGAUAGCUCAGUCACAGGACACCCAACAAUGAAGACACGCCAAUAUCCUAAAAUUUACACUUUAAUUUAACCUGCAGUUUGGGAUGCCACACUCUUGGUCAAUUUAGUUUCUCUGAAUAAUUCAUUGAGCCCACCAGACAAGCUUGGGGCACAACUUUCAGAAACCUGAAGGUGAAGUUGAGCUGCUCCUGGGAAGGGUCACUGUGUGAAGCCCAGAGUCCCUGCAGGAAAGUCUGGGAGUGCCCAGACAAGCGCCAGAGGACACCAGCGACAUCUACACAGCAGUGUUCGCUUUACCACUAAUCCCAAUACUUCAGACAGCACAAACCCCUGGCUGGUGCACAACCUUCCUUGGCUGCAUCCAGAAUGUUCCACGAUUCACAAUGUGCACACGUGCUGCGAGGCUUUCUCGUGAUCCCCUUGCUUUGUCAUGGAAACUCUGGUAAACCCACGGUGACACUUCUGCCCACGUUUCACAUACUGGCAUUCUUGGAUUAGUAGGCAGGACAGAAUGGGGGCCAGAAGUGGAACCUCACAAAGCUAGCCCGGUUUGCUAGUCUGGGAGAAUGUGAAGCCUUCAUCUCCUUGGCCUGGGAUGACCAAAUUUAGGGUUAAACCCACAGAAUUCUAAACCCUUAAGAUACUGAAUGUCUUUUUAAAAGCCCCA
rnacentral:lncRNA from 1 species